UGGGGAAUAUUGCACAAUGGGCGCAAGCCUGAUGCAGCCAUGCCGCGUGUAUGAAGAAGGCCUUCGGGUUGUAAAGUACUUUCAGUCGGGAGGAAGGUGUCAAGGUUAAUAACCUUGGCAAUUGACGUUACCGACAGAAGAAGCACCGGCUAACUCCGUGCCAGCAGCCGCGGUAAUACGGAGGGUGCAAGCGUUAAUCGGAAUUACUGGGCGUAAAGCGCACGCAGGCGGUUUGUUAAGUCAGAUGUGAAAGCCCCCGGCUCAACCGGGGAGGGUCAUUGGAAACUGGGAGACUUGAGUGCAGAAGAGGAGAGUGGAAUUCCAUGUGUAGCGGUGAAAUGCGUAGAUAUAUGGAGGAACACCAGUGGCGAAGGCGGCUCUCUGGUCUGUAACUGACGCUGAGGCUCGAAAGCGUGGGGAGCAAACAGG
rnacentral:rRNA from 1 species